UGGUCUUUAAUCCUGGCCUUUGGGAGCGACAGUUGUCUCGAUCUCUUUGGUGGCCGAACAUGGGCAUGUUGAGAAU
rnacentral:ribozyme from 1 species